AGUUCCAUUAAAAGUUCUCAAUGAGUCAGCAUGACUAAGUGUUCUGGAAACUUCUUCAGUUUUAUUUUUAACAAUUCCGUAACGCAACGCACUCUCCAUAACACCUCGCUCACGGGAGAGCAUGAGACGUGAGUCGAGCAACGCGAGCCUGCGAGAGAUCUGCAAUGGGUCUAUCUCUGAUAUCAUUAGUGCCAGUCCCUUACCCACCCUUUCUUGACUCGUCACAAGUCCGGUUGACGGGUGACUUGGCAUGAAGAAGUCCUGAUUGGAGGAAAUGUGCAUUAAGCAGAAAUGCUGAUGAAAUCUGAUAAGAUUCUGCGAUGCACUUGCACUGCUUUUCUUUUCCUUUUUUAUUUUAUAUUUUUGUCAGCUUGUGAAGACGAUUACCUUGAAUGUCCAUACUGGGCAAACCAUGGUGAAUGCCACAAAACUCCACAACAUAUGCUGCGCGAUUGCCGCAAAAGUUGGGACAGCUGUUAGAGUCGAAGUGAAGCACAUUGGGCCUGUCUUCCACCGGAACAGAUAAAAAAGAUUUGAGGCAAUAAAUUUUAUUUUUCUCGCAUAAUUUGGGUCGGGUGAAGGAAUGUACUGAGUUACCCAUGUUAGGGUUGUUCGCUGUGUUAUUGUAGAAUUUCAAGCCUCGUAAUCUGGAAAAUAAAACAAAUGAUAAGCUGAAA